UCUAACCACAGAGAGGAUGCUCAGUGGGGACUGCACCAGCGCGACACCCUCUCAGUCCCCCACAGCCCCACUGCUUUGAGGAUCUGCCCUUGUAGGUGCUGGGGACAGCCAGGAUGGUGGGGCAAGGUGAAGAGGGGGCUCUGUGGGAGGGGGUACUGGAAUGGUUGUUCUUGAGGAGGGAUCAUUAAUUGUAUGAAAAAAAAUCAGCAAGAAUUCUGUAAAUUUUGUAAAUUUAGUUACCAAAGUCAUCAUGUUUAUGAAAUCAGUUCACUGGGGAAUCUAAGGUUUCAGUUUAUGGAACCAUGAUCAAUCAGGCUGUGAUGCAACUUCAGAAGGUGAAUUUCUGAUAUUGCCAGUGAUUAUAGGCCAACAGCAGCUUAUUGUAACAUGUGUGACCAGUUAAUGCCCACAGUACCCUGACAAUUUAAGACAAGUGACAUCAGCUGUUAACAGUCCUCAUCUCCAGGUCUUCUGAUUCCCGUUCCAAGCUCUUCCUCCAAGGACACAGAUCUCCAGGUCAACAGUGGACCCCGGAGGGAGAGGGUGACCUGAGCAUUCUGGGAUCUCCAGAGUCCAGAGAGGAAGAAGAGGACAUCAUCAUAAACCUCUUUUCGAUCCCUCUCAGGGACCACAGCCCAGACCUCCAGCUCCCCAAAGAGCAGGGAUCGUGGGAUGAGUCCACUCUCACCCCUCAGGUGGCCCCAAGUAUGGAUGGACAGGUGGACAAGUGCCUGUACAACUUUGGAUCUCAUUACAAAUGAGUGCGAAUCUGAAGGAACUCGUGCGAGAAAGAUAUAGAAAAGGGGGCUGAAAGAAAAGCAGCUCCUGUGUCUUCCUUGGAACAAAAACAUAUUUGUGGGCUGGGGAAGGAUAAUGAAGAGACAACUGAUCGCCUGAUCACCAUGUGUUCACCUAGACCAGUGGAACCCCCCAGGAUGCAAUCAAUUCUUCUCAGCCUCCACAUAUAAGGGGCAUCUCAGAACUGAAGAUUCAAGAAGAAAGAACAAAAGGAAAAAGGGACAAGAAUGGAGAAAGAGAAUGCAAAGAAGGAAUAAUAACAGCUAAUAGCUAAUAUUUAUUGAGUGCUUAUUAUGAGCCAGAUACCAUGACAAAUAUUUAAUCCUCA